rnacentral:lncRNA from 1 species
CACACAUUAAAAUUACCUACUACUAUAAAAAUUUGCACAUUUCAUCAAAGAUCUACACCUUGUUUUCUAGUAUUUCAAAAUCCAAGGAUGGGAGAAGACGCCCUGUCUACCUUAAAUGUCUUUUUUUAAGGGAAUCCAAAGUUAUAUGAUGUGAUGUUAAAAAAGAAAAUUACAAAAUUAGGGUUUUGCCUCAGAUUUCAUUAUGCACUGAACGUGGAUAUUUAAUUAAGCCAGACAGGUAUAACUUGCUAUGGAUAAAUAUUUUUGUUUGAUUUAUCAAAGAAAUAAAACAAAUCUUGUUGGAAUUUUUCUUUUCAUACAGCUGAUGUGCAAUUUGUUUAUUUAAUUUGUUGCUUGUCUGAAAGAGUUUCAACACAAUUGUUUUUAUGCCCCACCUGCGAUAGUAGAAGGGCAUUAUGUUUUCUUGUAUGUGCCUCCAUUCAUCUGUUUGUCCGUUCGUUCCACUUCAGGUUAAAGUUUUUGGUCAAGGUAGUUUUUGAUGAAGUUGAAGUCCAAUCAAAUUCAAACUUAGUACACAUGUUCCCCAUGAUAUGAUCUUUCUAAUUUUAAUGCCAAAUUAAAGUAUUGACACCAAUUUCACAGUCCACUGAACAUGUAAAAUGAUAGUGUGAGUGGGGCAUCCAUGUACUAUGGACACAUUCUUGUUUAUCACAGAAAUUCUUAAAAAACAUAUUACCCUUAACCUAUUGUCUUAAACUUUUAAUACAUGUGGUAUGCAACUUAUAACUCUACUUUUCUACUUGUCAAAAUAAUCUUUAAUAGUGGUACAUGAGUGUAAUUUAAACUUGUAAAAAGAAUCAAAAUUUUGUUUUGAAAAAAUGUGAAAUUGUACU